CUUUUCCUUGGCUCUCUCUAAAUUUAAAUUUAUGUCCUCUAACCUCCUUGGAGUUGCUGAAAAUUCUGCUCAAUUUCUCAGCCUCUCACCUCCUGAAGGUACCAGUCAUUUAUUACCUUAAAGCAAGAAUCAGUAAAUUGUGUCUGUAAACAGCUGAACAGUGAACAUUUUAAUGAAUUUGUGUGUGUGAGUGUGUGUGUGUGCGGAAGAUUGGCCCUGAGCUAACAUCUGUGUCAAUUUUACUCUAUUUUAUAUGGGUUGCUGCUACAGCACGGCUUGCUGAGCAGUAUGUAGGUCCGGGUGAGGAAGCAAAACCUGCAAACCCCAGGCCACUGAGGCGGAGUGCGUGAACUUAAACACUACACUACGGGCUGGCCCCUGAAUAGUGAACAUUUUAGACUUUGCAAACCAAGAUGCAAAACUGAGUAUACUAUAUAGGCAAUUAUAUAAGAAAAAAGAAAUCUCCUACCCCACCCUGCUCCAUUUUCAUGAGGAGGGCCAUCCUGGGUGGUCAGCAUACUUAGUGCCCAGUUGCCAUUUGGAAGAGACAUCCUCUAGAUGAAGAGUGCCCAGCCCAAGGGAAGAGGCCUGGUGGACCAGAGAAAGCAAAAGCUAAGCAUAGGAAGCUGGGUCUUCAUCAUGGUGUCAAGAUUCCACUUCACUCCUUCCUCGCUCGUCUCCCACAAGCAGACUUUUCCAAUCACCUGUAGAUGAUGGCUUCUCUUAUUCCAAAAUCCACCAGAAUACUGAGAGGAACUGUUUCAGCUGUAAGCCUGACCAAGUGGCCAACAACCUACAAAACAAGCAACUAAAUCAUGUGACUUGGACAACUAAUCUGGAUGAAGUCAUAUUUCUGUGGUCUCAGUGGUGAAAUUUAAAUUAACUACUACAUUCAGGCAAUGCAGCAAUUCUUUACAUCAAGUUCACAUUUAAUAAGCCUUAGAUAGUCUAUAAGCCAUCUGAAAUUUUAUGCAAAACUGGGCUGGUCCAGAAAGAGGAUCCACAGUCUUCACCAGAUUCUCAGUCCCCUCUGACCUCUGUGAAAAGAUUGAGCACCACAAUGUAAGGAAAUACACAGCAGUAAUACUUAAAAUUUGAUAGCCCUCUUAGGUUGGCACCAGACUAUCAGAACUAGCACAACAAAAAAAAAAAGCUUCCAUACAAACACUAUUCUGAAAACAAUAGAUUCAAAAAAGUGAAUUGUACAUGGUAAUUACCAUGAAAUGACAAGAAACUACAGUCAUUUAAAAUACAUUAAUUUCUUACUUCAAUUCAGUCAUUUAUAGAAAGAAGUAUUUAUUGAUCCCAAAGGGAAAGAGAUGAGAAGUCAUAGAGGAUAAAAGAAAGUAUGGGGAGGCAUUUUACAGUUUAUCCAGAUCAAGAAUAUCUUUACAUCUUUUAAGUAGAAAAAGGGUCAGCUUUAUCAUUUACAAAUUGCCUUUACAUAAAUUAUCCCACCUAAUUGUCUUGACAUUUCACCAUGCGUCAUUACUCCCAUUUUACAAAUGAGGAAAGUCAGUGAUGUGAAGUUAUUUGCCCAAGAUCAUACAGAU
rnacentral:lncRNA from 1 species